rnacentral:rRNA from 1 species
ACUCAAAUGAAUUGACGGGGGCCCGCACAAGCGGAGGAACAUGUGGUUUAAUUCGAUGAUACGCGAGGAACCUUACCUGGGCUUAAAUGUAGAGUGCAUGAGGUAGAAAUACUUCUUUCCUUCGGGACUCUUUGCAAGGUGCUGCAUGGUUGUCGUCAGCUCGUGCCGUGAGGUGUCGGGUUAAGUCCCAUAACGAGCGCAACCCUUAUCGUUAGUUGCCAGCGGGUAAUGCCGGGAACUCUAACGAAACUGCCGGUGUAAACCGUGAGGAAGGUGGGGAUGACGUCAAAUCAGCACGGCCCUUAUGUCCAGGGCUACACACGUGUUACAAUGGCCGGUACAGAGGGCAGCUACCUGGAGACAGGAUGCGAAUCUCCAAAGCCGGUCUCAGUUCGGAUCGGAGUCUGCAACUCGACUCCGUGAAGCUGGAUUCGCUAGUAAUCGCGCAUCAGCCAUGGCGCGGUGAAUACGUUCCCGGGCCUUGUACACACCGCCCGU